GUUCGAGUCCUAAAUAGGACGAAACGCGCGUCAAAC
rnacentral:hammerhead_ribozyme from 1 species